AUUGAACGCUGGCGGCAUGCUUUACACAUGCAAGUCGAACGGUAACAGGGUGCUUGCACCGCUGACGAGUGGCGAACGGGUGAGUAAUGCGUCGGAACGUGCCGAGUAGUGGGGGAUAACGCAUCGAAAGGUGUGCUAAUACCGCAUACGUACUGAGGUAGAAAGUGGGGGACCUUCGGGCCUCACGCUAUUCGAGCGGCCGACGUCUGAUUAGCUAGUUGGUGGGGUAAAGGCUCACCAAGGCGACGAUCAGUAGCGGGUCUGGGAGGAUGAUCCGCCACACUGGGACUGAGACACGGCCCAGACUCCUACGGGAGGCAGCAGUGGGGAAUUUUGGACAAUGGGCGCAAGCCUGAUCCAGCCAUGCCGCGUGUCUGAAGAAGGCCUUCGGGUUGUAAAGGACUUUUGUCCGGGAGCAAAUGCCUGGUGUUAAUAGCACUGGGAGCUGAGAGUACCGGAAGGAUAAGCACCGGCUAACUACGUGCCAGCCGCCGCGGUAACAC
rnacentral:rRNA from 1 species